rnacentral:tRNA from 3 species
AUUUAUAUAGUUUAUUUAAAAGCAUAAUAUUGAAGAUAUUAGGAAGAUAAAUUUGAUUUAUUUAUAAAUA